rnacentral:rRNA from 1 species
GAUGAACGCUGGCGGCGUGCCUAAUACAUGCAAGUCGAGCGAACGGACGAGAAGCUUGCUUCUCUGAUGUUAGCGGCGGACGGGUGAGUAACACGUGGAUAACCUACCUAUAAGACUGGGAUAACUUCGGGAAACCGGAGCUAAUACCGGAUAAUAUUUUGAACCGCAUGGUUCAAAAGUGAAAGACGGUCUUGCUGUCACUUAUAGAUGGAUCCGCGCUGCAUUAGCUAGUUGGUAAGGUAACGGCUUACCAAGGCAACGAUGCAUAGCCGACCUGAGAGGGUGAUCGGCCACACUGGAACUGAGACACGGUCCAGACUCCUACGGGAGGCAGCAGUAGGGAAUCUUCCGCAAUGGGCGAAUGCCUGACGGAGCAACGCCGCGUGAGUGAUGAAGGUCUUCGGAUCGUAAAACUCUGUUAUUAGGGAAGAACAUAUGUGUAAGUAACUGUGCACAUCUUGACGGUACCUAAUCAGAAAGCCACGGCUAACUACGUGCCAGCAGCCGCGGUAAUACGUAGGUGGCAAGCGUUAUCCGGAAUUAUUGGGCGUAAAGCGCGCGUAGGCGGUUUUUUAAGUCUGAUGUGAAAGCCCACGGCUCAACCGUGGAGGGUCAUUGGAAACUGGAAAACUUGAGUGCAGAAGAGGAAAGUGGAAUUCCAUGUGUAGCGGUGAAAUGCGCAGAGAUAUGGAGGAACACCAGUGGCGAAGGCGACUUUCUGGUCUGUAACUGACGCUGAUGUGCGAAAGCGUGGGGAUCAAACAGGAUUAGAUACCCUGGUAGUCCACGCCGUAAACGAUGAGUGCUAAGUGUUAGGGGGUUUCCGCCCCUUAGUGCUGCAGCUAACGCAUUAAGCACUCCGCCUGGGGAGUACGACCGCAAGGUUGAAACUCAAAGGAAUUGACGGGGACCCGCACAAGCGGUGGAGCAUGUGGUUUAAUUCGAAGCAACGCGAAGAACCUUACCAAAUCUUGACAUCCUUUGACAACUCUAGAGAUAGAGCCUUCCCCUUCGGGGGACAAAGUGACAGGUGGUGCAUGGUUGUCGUCAGCUCGUGUCGUGAGAUGUUGGGUUAAGUCCCGCAACGAGCGCAACCCUUAAGCUUAGUUGCCAUCAUUAAGUUGGGCACUCUAAGUUGACUGCCGGUGACAAACCGGAGGAAGGUGGGGAUGACGUCAAAUCAUCAUGCCCCUUAUGAUUUGGGCUACACACGUGCUACAAUGGACAAUACAAAGGGCAGCGAAACCGCGAGGUCAAGCAAAUCCCAUAAAGUUGUUCUCAGUUCGGAUUGUAGUCUGCAACUCGACUACAUGAAGCUGGAAUCGCUAGUAAUCGUAGAUCAGCAUGCUACGGUGAAUACGUUCCCGGGUCU